rnacentral:misc_RNA from 1 species
AACGCACAUUGCGCCCUUUGGUAUUCCUUAGGGCAUGCCUGUUCGAGCGUCAUAUCAACCCUCAAGCACCGCUUGGUGUUGGGCGCUUGUCCCCGCCGCCGGCAGGGACUCGCCCCGAAUCCAUUGGCAGCCACCGCACCGGGCCAACGAGCGCAGCAGAUUUCGCGCCUCGGGCAGGGAGCGUGGGCGACCCACUGAGCACCCCAUCCACUUUGACCUCGGAUCAGGUAGGGAUACCCGCUGAACUUAA